rnacentral:rRNA from 1 species
ACUGCUCAGUAACACGUCGAUAAUCUGCCUUUAGGUAGGGGAUAACCUUGGUAACCUGAGGAUAAAACCCUAUAUGGGAUUAUAUCUGGAAUGAUUUUUCCUUUAAACUUUACGGCCUAAAGAUGAGUCGGCGGCUGAUUAGCUUGUUGGUGAGGUAAUGGCUCACCAAGGCAUCGAUCAGUAGGGGCCUUGAGAGAGGGAGCCUCGAGAAGGACACUGAGAUACUGGUCCUAGCCCUACGGGGUGCAGCAGGCGCGAAACCUUUACAAUGCACGAAAGUGUGAUAAGGGGAUCCAGAGUGCCUAUACAAAGUAUAGGCUUUUACCAAGAGUAAAUAUCUUGGGGAAUAAGUGGUGGGAAAGACUGGUGCCAGCAGCCGCGGUAACACCAGCGCCACGAGUGGCAAUCACAUUUAUUGGGCCUAAAGCGUUCGUAGCGGGUUCGGAAAAUCUCUUGUGAAAUCGUUGAGCUCAACUUAACGGCGUGCAGGAGACACUAUCGGACUUGAGACCGGGAGGAGUCAGAGGUAUGUCAGGGGAAGCGGUAAAAUGCAAUAAUCCUUGACAGACCACCUGUGGCGAAGGCGUCUGACUAGAACGGAUCUGACCGUGAGGGACGAAAGCCAGGGGAGCAAACCGGAUUAGAUACCCGAGUAGUCCUGGCCCUAAACACUGCGAGCUAGGUGUUGCAUAUUCUCCGUGAAUAUGCAGUGUCGAAGUGAAGAUGUUAAGCUCGCCGCCUGGGAAGUACAGUCGCAAGGCAGAAACUUAAAGGAAUUGGCGGGGGAGCAC